rnacentral:rRNA from 1 species
GCAGUCGCCACGGUAAUACAGAGGGUGCGAGCGUUAAUCGGAUUUACUGGGCGUAAAGCGUGCGCAGGCGGUUAUAUAAGACAGAUGUGAAAUCCCCGGGCUCAACCUGGGAACUGCAUUUGUGACUGUAUAGCUAGAGUACGGCAGAGGGGGAUGGAAUUCCGCGUGUAGCAGUGAAAUGCGUAGAUAUGCGGAGGAACACCGAUGGCGAAGGCAAUCCCCUGGGCCUGUACUGACGCUCAUGCACGAAAGCGUGGGGAGCAAACAGGAUUAGAUACCCCUGUAGUCCCUGUCUCUUAUAC